GGGCCCACUCGAUUGUGAGUCGUGUGUGUGUGUGUGUGUGUAGGUAGAUAGAUAGAUAGAUAGAUAAAUGGAUAGACGUAAAGCUAUGUAAAGGAGUGUCACGUGAGUGAGGAGAUUUGAGACCUACGUGGGCUACCACCGGCUUAGACUAAAGGUAACAAUGCUUAUAUAGAACGAUACUCACUGAGAGUGGUUAGUUAGUUAUUGUCUAUUGCAAACAAGGGAGGGAGGAGGAGGGGGGAGUAGGAGGAGGAGGAGGUGAAGUGGAAAGCAGUGAGGCAGAAGGGACCGUUUUCUUCUGCAGGCGUUGUGCAGGUAAGAUGUGUGUGCGCCAAGAAGUGUGUCUGUCCACUGCCUUGUUACGAGUUAAUUAACGUUUGUAAAGUUAUGUGUUGGUCUGGUGUCGUCCCUAUCGUGGUGUUAUUGUUGUUGUAGAUCGUGUUUAGUUGAGGACCUUUAUCCGUUUUUCAUGGAGAGUAUUUAAAAGUUCCAUGUUGCAUUUUAGAGGAUAGGAAGUGUUGCCUGACAUUUCGUGGGACUCUGUGUUUAUUGUGUGUGUUUAUUGUGUUUAGUGUAUUUCUUAACAACUUUGUUGAACGCAGCACAUGCUCACAAUUCAGUUGUGUAGGCGUGUCAAGGACAGGGCUUGGAUGUGCAUUGAUAUAGUAUGGCUGCAAGGUGCUUGGUGUAUCUCGGCCUUUUCUCACUGAGCGGUGGCGCAGAUGUAGGCCUAGCUUUGUCAUGAACCUUUGUAUGAGCUACGUGUAGGAUUUUUCGUGGGUUUUCAUUAUUUUCCUCUUAAGGGUGUUCAGCGUUACUUGUACAUAAUCAAACUCAGGAGUUUGUCAUUAGCUGAGAGAGAGAGAGAGAGAGAGAGUGUACUGUGUGUGUGUAUCCGAACACUAAAGUAAUGCUACCUGAAGCGUUUUGAACUCCCACCUUAGAUUCGAUAUCUGUUUCGAGCGCGUGACUUUAGUGUGUCUGCCGCUACGUGGCAGCUUCCAUCCUACUCGAGGUGGAGGGAGUCUGAACAUCGAUCGGUCUGUGAUUACCCAGCUACCUUCCAUACCAGUCAUAUUUGUAGUCCAGUCUUACCCAGGCCAGAAUCCGUCUUAUCACCAGCAGUGUAUACAAUAAGGGAGUAGGUUUGGUCAUGCCGGCCAACUCCUGAACAUGGGCAAACGAGUCUCGGGCGUCAGUCUGCAGGAGAUGGAGCACGUCCCGCCAAAAGUCUGACACCGGCUUCCUACAUAUGCACCAUACCAACUUGGUAGUCGCAUCAGUUUCACCGCGCUAACUCCUCAGCUACAGCGGCGCUCGAGUCGGACUUUGUACCCGCUUAAUCAUCUGAGGCUCUGGCAUCCUGCUCCUCAUCUGUGUCCAUGUGAUAGCAGUCCAUCUCCAGGUCUCCCUCUUCAGAAGACCGUGGAUGCGUGCGGUCCGGCACAGGUCUUGCCACUACUGAAGGGAGAACCAAAGCAGCGUCUCCUAACGCCCAACCUGCUGCAGGAAACUAGCACAUCUUGCACUGGAAGACGCCAACUGUUCGCUGCACCUUCCACGGAGGAAUUAGGACCCUGUCCCGCACCAGCUCUGCCCUGACAACUCCUGGUGCCAUCCAGGGACCCUGACUCAAACCAGCUCUGCCCUGACAAUACGUGGUUCCUUCUAGGGAGGGAGGACUCAAACCAGCUCUGCCCUGACAAUACGUGGUUCCUUCUAGGGAGGGAGGACACGCUGUAUCUUCCACGGAGGAAUUGGACCCUACCUCGCACCAGUUGUGCCCCAACAACACGUAGUGCCGCCAUCUAAGGAAGAAGGCCUGCCUCGCUGCACCUUCCACGGAGGGAUUGGAGGCUACCUCGCCUUAAGCUUUGCCCUGGUAACACGUGGUCCCAUCUCGUGUUAUUACUCCUUCCCUGUUCUGUUUUGUACCCACAUAACUGGUGUUGGUACUUCAUAAUAAAGAAAAUUGAUAUUGAUGCUUUAUUUCGGUAAUUUUUUUUUUUUGUACUUUAAGUAUUUAUGAAACAUGCCUAACCUAACCCUACUAGCGCCACAAUAUAUAUAGUUCUAGGUUUUCAAAUAAAAACUUUAAUAAU
rnacentral:lncRNA from 1 species